rnacentral:rRNA from 1 species
GUGGCAGCCGCCGCGGUAAUACGUAGGGUGCGAGCGUUAAUCGGAAUUACUGGGCGUAAAGCGUGCGCAGGCGGUUAUGUAAGACAGUUGUGAAAUCCCCGGGCUCAACCUGGGAAUUGCAUCUGUGACUGCAUAGCUAGAGUACGGUAGAGGGGGAUGGAAUUCCGCGUGUAGCAGUGAAAUGCGUAGAUAUGCGGAGGAACACCGAUGGCGAAGGCAAUCCCCUGGACCUGUACUGACGCUCAUGCACGAAAGCGUGGGGAGCAAACAGGAUUAGAUACCCCAGUAGUC